AGUAGCGCUGCUUGGCAUUCUGGGUAUUUGUUCUUUUGUGUUUAUUUUGUGUUACGGUGAAGAUGUUCUCCCAAAAUGUGUUUGUCAUUCUUUUUUGAUGUGGGUUCACAAUAUGGCGCAUUAUUUUAACAGUCUUAAAUUUGUUUGUACUGCCACCGUCAGUGUGAUUUCCAUGGCUGUUGAUAAAGUUGACGUGUCUGACUCCGGCGUGGGGGCUGUUCUCUCCCAGCGCUCCUCAUCCGACCAGAGGCUGCACCGCUGUGCCUUCUUCUCACGCCACCUGACGCCUACAGAACGCAAUUAUGACAUUGGCAAUAGAGAGCUACUCGCCGUAGCGUUGGCACUAAUGGAGGCACUGGCUGGAGGUCUCGGAGACCCCGUUGGUGGUGUUCACUGACCACAAGAAUCUGGCCUAUAUUCCUGCUCAAUGGCACAAUCCAAGACAAGCAAGGUGGGCGUUGUUCUUAACAAGAUUUAAUUCACCAUGACUUUCCGCCCCGGGUCCCAGAACGGAAAACCUGACACCCUGUCAAGGAUGUACUCCUGCCUCGAGGAAGAAGUCAAGAUCGAGACGAUCAUCCCUCCAUCACGGUUCGUUAUCCUCCAGCGAGGGGCUGACACUAGAAACACCUGCAACCAUUUUCCACUGAGGAGUAUAUAAGCUCGUCAUCCACUACUGGUCCUUGUCGGUUCAUUUUUGUCCCUGCAUCUCCUACGUGCAUGUGCCAGCUUCGCUCCGUCAGACCGGUAUGUUACAUUCCUCACUCGUGUAUUUCCUAACCUUAUGUUUUUUUUUCUAGCCUACCUGAGGCAGUAGAGACUUUUUUACUGCGCACUUUUGCGUCCCGGCUUUCCCACUGCCAACCUCUGUGGAACCGGCCUUAGUUAGUUUACAUGGUGUGCCUUAUCUGCCCCAUCACUUUUCGUUGCACUUUUUGGACUGAUUAAAUAUAUUCACUUUUGUUAUUCAAACUUUCCUCCCGUCUCUGCAUCCCGGGUGGGUAGGUCAUAGGUAGGUAGGUAGGUCUUUAUUGUCAUUACAACAAGUACAAUGAAACUUUCUUUUCAGCACAAACCUGUUCAAGACUAGACAAACAAACAGUGUACAGGGUUACAGAACAAGAACGCUGAUGGGUCGCCAUAAGGCGCCCCGUAAAAGAUGGGAAAAAGGUAAACGCUGGGGAAGGAUGAGUAAAAAAAAUACAAUCCAGACUGGGCUCCUAAGGGGGCCCAGUUCCAAGUGAGAAAAAACCUCCAUAGCAAAGCACAUAUACAUAUUACAACAUACAUCUCGAGAUAUCUAGCAACAGAGGGAAGGUAGUUAUACGUCAUGGUGGUAGGCCGCAUGUCUCAGGCGCUGACCAUCCAUUCAUCACCCCUACAGGAUUAGCGUUGAGGGUGUCGGAUUGGGGGACAGGAGGGUGUAUGUGUGGCGUAUACAUUUUUUGUGGAUGUUUGUGUGUAUAAGCUCAUAGUGUGUCUCUGUUCCGCGGCCUUGAUGUAUUUGCCGUCGCUAGUCCAAAGUCCACAACAAUAGGUGUGUGUCCAUGAGAGACAAGAAGGGAGUUUGUUGUGUCUUCCUGUAGUGAUCUUUGGGAGAGGCUCGAAGCUAGGCAAAAAAUCCAAAUUAAAAUGAUUUGUAUGCGAGUGAAAAUAAAAAUUGGCUUUUCACUCUAAAAUUGUCUAUGACUGGUCCUCAAAAACUAUGGGGUGGACAUCCAUCCAUCCAUUUCCUACCGCUUAUUCCCUUUUGGGGUUGCGGGGGGUGUUGGCGCCUAUGUCAGCUACAAUCGGGCGGAAGGAGGGGUACACCCUGGACAAGUUGGCAACUCAUCGUUGGCCAACACAGAUAGACAGACAACAUUCACACUCACAUUCACACACUAGGGCCAAUUUAGUGUUGCCAAUCAACUUAUCCCCAGUCCGAUGUAAUCCACAGUUCUUCCCGCAUCCUCCAAUCAUUUGUGGCAGCUUUGAGGUACUUUGAAGACUGCCAGCAACUUCCAAUUUGUUGACAAACCAGAGCAACGCUUACUCCAAUCAACAGAUGUCCUGUUGUCAUAAUUCCGAAUAGGUGGAUAUCUUCACGUUGUCGACAGAAAAGGGUCGCCAGGCACGCGGCCCUCCUUCUUCUCCCAAGAGUCCGUCGUGUGUCCAUCUUCUCCCAAGAGUCCGUCGUGUGUCCAGCAACAACCGCUUCGUCACAACAGUGGGUUCCCCCAAACCCAAGAUCUUGUCAAUUUUGUUGAGGCCAGUUAAAUAGUUCCAAUGUUUAGAUUUGGAGAGCAGUGCAAAAAGAGGCAACAAGAAUGUUAAGACAAGACAAAACAAAAUACUUGGUGAAUUCUAGCUGUAAAUAUACUCCUCCCCUCUUAACCACA